GACAGAGGGGGCAAGCGUUGCUCGGAAUUACUGGGCGUAAAGGGCGCGUAGGCGGGAUGGCAAGUCGGUCGUGAAAUCCCUCGGCUCAACCGAGGAACGUCGAUCGAUACUGCUGUUCUUGAGGAUUGCAGAGGAGACUGGAAUUCCCGGUGUAGCGGUGAAAUGUGUAGAGAUCGGGAGGAACACCGGUGGCGAAGGCGGGUCUCUGGGCAAUUCCUGACGCUGAGGCGCGAAAGCGUGGGGAGCGAUCCGG
rnacentral:rRNA from 1 species